GUUCAGCGAAGCCACAGAAGUGGUGGGGUCUAAGUGGUGGGGAGAGAGGCAAGAUCACUGCUGGGCAAAGCAGAGGCAGUGUGGAAAUCACAAUACGCAGCAGUUGGAGGAUGCAGCAUCACCCUCUGUGAGGCAGAGACUACACUGUGGGUUCACAGAGGAGCCUUCCACCAAUGGAGUGACGCUGGCUGCUCUGCUCUGGGUGUCAGCCCAGGGUACAGUGGAAGGCAGAGGAGCAGGCUGGUGGAGCCUGGGGGACAGGCUGCUGCAGGAUUCAACUUCAGUCUUCACGUCUAGCUCAGGACAGGAAGGAAAAGAGAGGACUCUGCCUUUCUGCCUUCGGGCAUUCACCUCUGUGUGCUCCACCUGGGUGUCUGCAAGGAGAGGCAUCUGUGCAGGUCCAGGAGAAGCAGGGAUGGAAAACAAGGGGUCUCCUAUAACUCACUACAGAUCUUGGUUCCUAAAUAGAGCCAAAUGGAUUUGGUGGCGGAAGAGCUCCCCAGCAGUUCCUGUGAAGCAGUGCUGAGCCCAGCAAGAUCUGAUAGGGGCUUGAUGCUCUUAUCGACUCUGACGAUAUAAUUAUGUUCUUGUUUCGGCUGCCCUGCACUUAAGCACAGAAAAUAAAAAGCAAUCCUCUGUACA
rnacentral:lncRNA from 13 species